UCAGAAUAUAACCCAUUAAAAAAUAAAAAAUAAAAAAAACCCUAACAAUGAAAACCCUUCUUCUCCAUCUCCACCCACUCACCACCACCAACUUUCUCAUCCGAAAACCUAAUUAAUCGUCUCAUUCUUCUCAUCGUCUUCUCACACUAAAAGUUCAUCUCCUCAUCGUCUUCUCGCCUUGUCUUCAACGCCGCCGCCUUAAAGCUCUUUGCUGCCCAUCUCUCACUCCCCUUACGAUCAGGAGCAAUCGAAGCUGCUGGAGUUCCGAGGGUUCACCGGCCAGCCGUUAUACUCUUUGUGGUUUGGAUCGUAGAGUAAGGAGCGAGCAGUGUUCGUCGAUGAAGUGAAGUGCGUUGGAUGCUUGAAGUGUGCGUUGUCUGCAAGGAAAACGUUCGCCAUUGAAGCUGUUUACGGGCAAGCUCGAGUGGCCUCGUAGUGGGGUGAUCCAGAGGAGAAGAUUCUCGAAGCUAUCCAGACGUGGCCAGUGGAUUGCAUCUUGGACACAUCACAAUUGUUAAUUCUUAAGCACUUCACUUGAUUGGAACUUGUAGGGAUUUAUCAUUUAUAAGGAUUAUAUUGAAGAUGGCAAGGAAAGGAAAAGCACGAGUUAGAAAUUAUUCAAAUUCAGAAACACAAAAUAAUCAAACGCCAAACCAAGUUGAUGAUGAAAAUGUUGAAAUUAAUCUUGACUGUUCAUUGCCAUCAUCUACUCGAGCUUCAAAUGAAAUAUGUUCUUCUUCAGCACCUCCAAAUAAAAGACAUAGAAAAGUUAAUGUGAGAGGAAAGGCUAAAGGUGUCAAGUCAGGAGAAGGAAUUGAAGUUGAGAUAUAUGACAACAGGUAAAAUAUACCAUCUUGUAACUACUCAUGAAUAAAUUGUUGAUU